ACGCGAAGGGCAGCAGAAGCACAAAUCUCCAGAUUCACACCGAGGCUAUCCGCGGUCGACAGCACUCGCGGACCGGAGGGUUUUGCUACAGCGGCGGCCCCUUAAAGAUAAACACACAUUUAACAACGAACGCUGCUGUACUUGAAUAUAAUACCGCGCUGGACGGGACUGGGCUUCUUUGAACGCAUGCUGAAUUCAGUGGAUGUAGCUUUCAGAAUCAAGUUGGGUCUCUGGGACAGAUUUGGCAGCAGCGUCAAACUCGGUACAGAUGCCGGGUUUACAACAAAUUAGAUUAUGCCUUCAAAACAAAAGCAUUACUGUCACGGAUCUAACAGCCUACCCAAUGUAGCGGGCCGGGUUCAUCUGUAGAGUCUCUGGAGUAAAACUGUGACACCACUGCCUUCAUUUUUACAGGACCGCUGAAGACACGAAAGGGGAGAGAGAGGGGGGAAUGACAUGCAGCAAAGGGCCGCUGCGUCGAAGAGUAAACCUCUAUGGGCGCGCGCUCUACCAGCUCACAGAUGACAUCUGAACACUCGAUCUGCCACAGACCUGGAGAGGAAAGCUUUCCUACACUGAGUGAUGCUUUUCAUUAAACUCUACAGGAACCCUGUCGCCUGCCUGUCGGGCCAGUCUAUAUCCAGGUCAUCAGUAAUGAUUUCAACAACGCCAGUGUGAUGCUAUUCGGUCAUGUUUGAGGAUGGCCUGUGUUUCUAAACUUUGGUGAAAGUGGUUGGAAGCACUCAACCAACACAUUUUUCAGAUGAUCUUGAUCUGACAGUAGCUUCAAAAUACAAAAAACAAAACACUACAGCCAACAUGGACAAUGGUUCCUUCCUUUGACACACUGAGCUCCUUUCUCCUCUCUCUUUCCAUCUGCGUGCGUCCAUGUCCCAGAAAUGCUUGUUACUAACCUAGCUCUGGGGAGCUUAUUCCCCCGGAGCCCGUUUUUUAGAAAACGUUUUUUGUCGGCCAGCAGUUUUCCUUGGAUUAGGGUGGCACCUAAAUCAUGGUUGCAGCUGUCGCCGUGGUCCUGCUCCGCGCCCUGCUAUGCCCCGCCACACCCUGCUACGGUCUGCAGUGCCCUGCUACGCCCUGCUACAUCAUGCUACACCCUGUAACGCCCUGCUACACCAUUAACUACUAAAACUACUAUUUCCAUUAUCUUUAUUGUGACUGUUAAUCGCCACCGUUCAUCACACCCCCAACCAGCAUCGUCAGACACCGCCUACCAAGAGCCUGGGUCUGUCUGAGGUUUCUCCCUAA